GCUUUUGUUUGUUAUAAGCAGCAAACAGGUAUUGUUGGAAGCUUAAAUAAUGCAAGCUCUUUCAUUUUCAUGGAGCCAAGACAGGCUGGAUGAAGCCUUGUUUUUAGCACAAGUGGUAGAAAUUGACAAGUUCACAUAAAUUGUUGGAGGUAACCUAGCGAGGUGGGUGAGAGAGAGCUUAUUUCAAAUGUGGUGCUACUCAACUCAUGUGCCUAUGCAGUGGUAAGACAGGUGAGGGGCUCAUUUCAGGUGCGGUGCCGUCCUCAUCCCCAGCUAGUGGUUCCCCAGGUAAGAGCUAAUUUUAAGUGUAGUGGUUCCCAAGUGUCAGGCAUUAGCAUGGAAAGAAAGCUUAUUCUAGUUGUGGUGCUACAUCAUGCCCAUGGAAGGAGGUCAAUGAUCUUAUGUGGUUGGAUGAACCUAUUUUGAUGGGUCAUGUAACGGUCGAAGUUCACCGCUAGCAGAUUUUGUCCUCUUUGGUCUUUCCCUUUCAAGCUUUCCCUCAAGAUUUCUAAAGCGCGCUCACCAAAGAGAAAUUUUCACGCCCUUCUACAUAAUGUUUCAUCCUCCCUAACCGAUGUGGGAUAUCACAACAACCAACAUUCUUGGGGUCCCAGCAUUCUCGCUGGCACUCGUUUCCUUCUCCAAUCAAUGUGGGACUCCCCAAUCCAUCCCCUUCGGGGCCUAGCGUCCUUGUUAACACACUGUCUCGUGUCCACCUCCUUCGAAGCUCAACCUCCUCGCUGACACAUUCCCCAGUGUCUAACUCUUAAUACUAUUUUUCGAUUUGUGCGUGUCAUUCUUGCCCAGAAGCCAUACUAAUCUUUUCUGAUACCAAAUGUAAUGUCACUAAUUAACCUAAGAAAAUUAUGGGCGUUA